AUCGCAGCGGCAAGAGCGCUGCCGAGAACCUGCAGGCCGCAUAAAGAGAUUGCGCUUCUGGUCUUUGACCACGGAUGUACUGGCACUGAUCAUCGAGGCGCAUAGGAGAGGCCGGGUUCGCCCGGCCUUUUUGCUU
rnacentral:sRNA from 1 species